rnacentral:lncRNA from 1 species
UGUAAUCUCAGGAGUUUAUUGGCUCUUGUACAUAUCUAUUUUCAUCUUGUCUUAUAUGAAGUUAUCAUUUUAGUAGUUUAAUUUUAACAUGGUAUCAGAGCCAGGGGGAGUAUCAAGGCUUAACAGCCUUCCCUACGGUUCCUUGGAAGGAUAACGAUUCAUUUUGAGAAGAAGCUCCAUGGGAUGAAGCUGAAGGCCAGGAAGAAGUCCCAAGAAAAGCAUCAACAGAGGAGCAGACAAGAAGAAUCGUUUGUCAUUUACAGGGGUUUAAAGGUGCAGAGGUCCAUUCACUCUAGGCCCAUUCACCAUAUAUAACACUCACGUUGUAGCACUGGAAUGUGGUAGAAUCUUGGAGGCAGAAAUAGCGCUGUUUACUUGGUUAUUUUUGAGGUGUAUUAAAAGGAGUGCCGAGAGUGUCAAUAUGCAGUGUGUGAAGGCCGGGAAACAGGAGGAGGUUUGGAUGGUCGAAAUUGUCGACUUUGUGUGGACUGUGUGCAUGCAUGUAGGUGUUAACAGGCUGAUGAACAGGAUGCCAGACGGGCAAAACAAAAGGCCAGACGGGCCAGGCAAACAAAAGGCCAGACGGGCCAACCAGACGGGUUAAGUUUAAAAGCCAUACGGGCUUGUGAAGAGUAGCCAUACGGGCUCAGAAGAAUAGCCAUACGGGCUUAGAUUAAUAGCCAUACGGGCUCAGUUUAAAAGCCAUACGGGCUUAGCCAAAAGGGUUGAUGAAGGUGUUGUAGAACACGGCAUUGUUAAGCCAAACGGGCUCAGUAUAAAAGCCUUACGGGCUAGGAGGAUUUCUUGAGGCAAAUUUAGAUUAAGGGGGAGAUUGUUGCGAUUUUAGUCUAAAUUUUAUGGUUACAAUAUGUUUUGUUUAUUUGAAUAAGUCAUCAUGGUUCACAGCG